rnacentral:rRNA from 1 species
CAACGCGAAGAACCUUACCAGGCCUUGACAUGCAGAGAACUUUCCAGAGAUGGAUUGGUUGCCUUCGGGAACUCUGACACAGGUGCUGCAUGACUGUCGUCAGCUCGUGUCGUGAGAUGUUGGGUUAAGUCCGUAACGAGCGCAACCCUUGUCCUUAGUUACCAGCACGUUAUGGUGGGCACUCUAAGGAGACUGCCGGUGACAAACCGGAGGAAGGUGGGGAUGACGUCAAGUCAUCAUGGCCCUUACGGCCUGGGCUACACACGUGCUACAAUGGUCGGUACAAAGGGUUGCCAAGCCGCGAGGUGGAGCUAAUCCCAUAAAACCGAUCGUAGUCCGGAUCGCAGUCUGCAACUCGACUGCGUGAAGUCGGAAUCGCUAGUAAUCGUGAAUCAGAAUGUCACGGUGAAUACGUUCCCGGGCCUU